CUGGNUCACCUCCCACCCGUGUUUAUUUACCUUGUUGCUUCGGCGAGCCUGCCUUUUGGCUGCCGGGGGACGUCAGUCCCCGGGUCCGUGCUCGCCGGAGACACCUUAGAACUCUGUCUGAAGAUUGUAGUCUGAGAUUAAAUAUAAAUUAUUUAAAACUUUCAACAACGGAUCUCUUGGUUCCGGCAUCGAUGAAGAACGCAGCGAAAUGCGAUACGUAAUGUGAAUUGCAGAAUUCAGUGAAUCAUCGAGUCUUUGAACGCACAUUGCGCCCUCUGGUAUUCCGGAGGGCAUGCCUGUCCGAGCGUCAUUGCUGCCCUCAAGCACGGCUUGUGUGUUGGGCCCCGUCCUCCUUCCGGGGGACGGGUCCGAAAGGCAGCGGCGGCACCGCGUCCGGUCCUCAAGCGUAUGGGGCUUUGUCACUCGCUUUGUAGGCCUGGCCGGCGCUUGCCGAUCAACCAAACUUUUUAUCAGGUUGACCUCGGAUCAGGUAGGGAUACCCGCUGAACUUAAGCAUAUCAAUAAGGCGGAGGAAA
rnacentral:rRNA from 1 species